rnacentral:snRNA from 1 species
GUGCUUCCCUCAGCAGCACAUAUACUAAAGCUGGACUGAUACAGAGAAGAUUAGCAUGGUCCCUGCACAAGGAUGACAUGCAAAUUCAUGAAGCAUUCCAUGUUUUU